UACGAAGGGGGGCUAGCGUUGUUCGGAAUCACUGGGCGUAAAGCGCACGUAGGCGGAUCUUUAAGUCAGGGGGUGAAAUCCCGAGGCUCAACCUCGGAACUGCCUUUGAUACUGCAAAUCUCGAGUCCGAUAGAGGUGGGUGGAAUUCCUAGUGUAGAGGUGAAAUUCGUAGAUAUUAGGAAGAACACCGGUGGCGAAGGCGGCCCACUGGAUCGGUACUGACGCUGAGGUGCGAAAGCGUGGGGAGCAAACAGG
rnacentral:rRNA from 1 species